ACACUGGACGUCUGGAGCCCCCUGUCUCCAGGCUGCAUAAGCACUUGAAGACUGUAAUUUACUUUGUUCUCCCUACAUUGCUAGGAGACGGGAACCAUCAGUCCUGUUUUAUAAUCUGGAGCCCUGAACUGUGGAGAGGGUGGGUAGCAUGGCCAGAGGCUCACAGCAAGUCAGACUGAAACAAAACAGACUGCAGCUCUCCCAGCUCCACAGGGCCCGGGUUCUCAGGCUUGGUCUUGGGCUUUGGUUGUACAGCUUCUCUCUCAGGCAUCUCCUGGCUUCGCCUCCUCUACCAUCCUUCUGAGAGAUCCCGCAAUCUGACUUCAGGAGAGAUGCUAAUAGACUCCCCAGAGCCACUGCCAAGGACUGCCUGACUGAAUAGCUGCUCAGCCUCUGCUACCGAGCAACCAGCGCCUGCCUACAGCUGGGAACAGAGGCGGAGCCGCUCAAGGUCACCAGACUGCUGACCUGUCACAGAGACAGGCUCUUUGGGGACACUGACUCUCACCAAAGGAUGCCCCUUUGCUCCUUGUAAAAGCAAGAGAAUGGAAUGACUUGAUUUCAAAUAACACCAUGGGUCAUAAGUA